GCCCUCUCAGGGUCGCACUUGGAAAGAUUCCAGUCCUCUACCAAUCUUGACUACAGGAGAGAGAGUCAAGCAGAGGCCUACCCAUUCCAUUCCUAGCUUGGCCAGUGGCUAGCGAGUGGAAAGCAAUCUGCUACAAGU